rnacentral:rRNA from 1 species
GGAAAAGAAACCAAGUGGGAUUGCCCUAGUAACGGCGAGUGAAGCGGCAACAGCUCAAAUUUGAAAUCUGGCUCUCUAUGGGGGUCCGAGUUGUAAUUUGCAGAGGGUGCUUUGGUGUUGGUGGCGGUCUAAGUUCCUUGGAACAGGACAUCGCAGAGGGUGAGAAUCCCGUUUGUGGUCGCAUGCCUUCGCCGUGUAAAGCCCCUUCGACGAGUCGAGUUGUUUGGGAAUGCAGCUCUAAAUGGGAGGUAAAUUUCUUCUAAAGCUAAAUACUGGCCAGAGACCGAUAGCGCACAAGUAGAGUGAUCGAAAGAUGAAAAGCACUUUGGAAAGAGAGUCAAACAGCACGUGAAAUUGUUGAAAGGGAAGCGCUUGCAGCCAGACUUGCCCGCAGUUGCUCACCCGGGCGUAUGCCCGGGGCACUCUUCUGCGGGCAGGCCAGCAUCAGUUUGGGCGGUCGGAUAAAGGCCUCUGUCACGUAUCUUCCUUCGGGAUGACCUUAUAGGGGAGGCGACAUGCGACCAGCCCGGACUGAGGUCCGCGCUUCUGCUAGGAUGCUGGCGUAAUGGCUGUAAGCGGCCCGUCUUGAAACACGGACCAAGGAGUCUAACAUCUAUGCGAGUGUUUGGGUGUCAAGCCCGAGCGCGUAAUGAAAGUGAACGGAGGUGGGAACCCUUGGGUGCACCAUCGACCGAUCCUGAUGUCUUCGGAUGGAUUUGAGUAAGAGCAUAGCUGUUGGGACCCGAAAGAUGGUGAACUAUGCUUGAAUAGGGUGAAGCCAGAGGAAACUCUGGUGGAGGCUCGCAGCGGUUCUGACGUGCAAAUCGAUCGUCAAAUUUGGGCAUAGGGGCGAAAGACUAAUCGAACUAUCUAGUAGCUGGUUCCUGCCGAAGUUUCCCUCAGGAUAG